AUUGAACGCUGGCGGCAUGCCUUACACAUGCAAGUCGAACGGCAGCAUAGGAGCUUGCUCCUGAUGGCGAGUGGCGAACGGGUGAGUAAUAUAUCGGAACGUGCCCUAGAGUGGGGGAUAACUAGUCGAAAGACUAGCUAAUACCGCAUACGAUCUACGGAUGAAAGUGGGGGAUCGCAAGACCUCAUGCUCUUGGAGCGGCCGAUAUCUGAUAGCUAGUUGGUGGGGUAAAAGCUCACCAAGGCGACGAUCAGUAGCUGGGCUGAGGGGACGACCAGCCACACUGGGACUGAGACACGGCCCAGACUCCUACAGGAGGCAGCAGUGGGGAAUUUUGGACAAUGGGGGCAACCCUGAUCCAGCAAUGCCGCGUGAGUGAAGAAGGCCUUCGGGUUGUAAAGCUCUUUUGUCAGGGAAGAAACGGUUCUGGAUAAUACCUGGGACUAAUGACGGUACCUGAAGAAUAAGCACCGGCUAACUACGUGCCAGCAGCCGCGGUAACAC
rnacentral:rRNA from 1 species